rnacentral:lncRNA from 1 species
UCCCGAGUUCUGCCAGCCUGGGUUUGGGCAGAUACAGAGCAAGAGGAGGCGGGGCGGCGACGCAACAUCCGAUGUAUCUGCGGAGGUGGCAAGAGAUGUGCUCAGAGAGGCGGCCUGCUAGGCUGCUGCGCAUCUUCCUCAGCCACAGCAGCAGAUCCACGGAGUGUCUGACGAUCCUCCUCAGUGACUGUCCUGUCUUCCCAGUCGAGGUAUCGCUGCCUAAGGUGGCGAGAAAAUGGGUGGUUCUUAUCUCAGGAGUGGUGAACUGAUGGGAUCAGGAGUCCUGUAAGAAGGAAGAAAUCACUUUUGCCUGCAGAGAGCUGAGGGGGGGAGGAGAGGGAAGCUUUAUUACACCUCCAGAGCAGGCAAAGGGAACAGGGCAAAGAAUCCAUUUCCUUAUAGAGCCACAGCCUCCCCUUAACUCUGUCCCCCAACUUUCUCCUGAAACAUAAUUAAAAGGGUCCUUAACACAGCAAAAAGCUGGCAGGCUAGUAAAGUUCACCUGGUCUCUAAUGCAUUGUCUGAAGGUAUCAGCCAGCACUCUCCCCUCAGCCAGUCGAGUUCUUCAAACGUGCCCCAACAAGGAGUACCACAGAGGCUGCAGGUAAACGCUCUGUGGCUGGGGCUGUUGAGAGACUCUGAUAGGGCACUGUCUUUCCGCAGAGCUUUAGAAAUCCUGGGUGUAAUCAAGAUGCAGAAAACAAGUAGAUAUUCUGAAAAGAGGACAAACCUUUUGCAGAUCGAACCCAUCAGACGAUGUGGUUAGGUUGACUAUACAAUUCUGUGUUUGUUAUCCUAGAAAGCAUUUAGUAUAAACCAUGCCCUCCUUCCCGACGUUACACAGUAGAAAGUGGAGGCCCAGGUUGGGCAUUUAGCCUAUAGCAAGUGGUACAUUUUGCUUACCUUUUGCUGGACAGCAGAGAAACCAACCAAAAGCAGGAGCAGCAGUAUGUACCUACAGUCCCAGUUGCCCAGGAGGUUGGGGCAAAUGAACUCUUGAGCCCAGAAGCUCCAAGCUAGCCUGGACAAUAAAUUUGAGAUCCAUGUCUCAAAACAAGUGGAGGGGGGUAAUGAUAACAGGCAAGAAUGUAAACUUUGGGGUCUGAAUCAUCCAAUCUUGAGUAAGAUACUUAGCCUUUCUGUGACUGUUUCCUCGAUUGUAAAGUUCAGUUAUUUUUUUUUUUUUUUUUGGUUCUUUUUUUCGGAGCUGGGGACCGAACCCAGGGCCUUGCGCUUCCUAGGUAAGCGCUCUACCACUGAGCUAAAUCCCCAGCCCCGUAAAGUUCAGUUAUUAAUGACAGUACUUUCUCCAUGAAAUUAGACAAUGGGGCAGGGGUGCUGGGCACACAGCUCUGUGGUACAGUCUGUGCCUAGCAUGCUUAAGGUCCUGGCACCAGAAAUAAACGAAUUAAGCUGUGCUGGGGCAUGCUUUUGUUAUAUCCCAGCUCUUGGGAGACAGAGAUAAGUGGGUUUCUGUGAGUUCAAGGCUAGCCAGAACUACAGUGAGACCCUGUCUCAAAAAUAAGUUAGAUGACAGCCUUCUACUUGUCCAUUGCUUGGUUUAGUUAAUUCUCAAUAAAAUGCUACUUCUACCUCUGGA